rnacentral:rRNA from 1 species
AGAGUUUGAUCAUGGCUCAGGAUGAACGCUAGCGGGAGGCCUAAUACAUGCAAGUCGAACGGUAACAUGGGUAGCAAUACCUGAUGACGAGUGGCGCACGGGUGCGUAACACGUACACAACCUGCCUUAUACUGGAGAAUACCCCCAAGAAAUUGGGAUUAACUCUCCAUAAUGUUGCGAAAAGGCAUCUUUUUGCAAUUAAAACUCCGGUGGUAUAAGAUGGGUGUGCGUCCGAUUAGAUAGUUGGUGAGGUAACGGCUCACCAAGUCAACGAUCGGUAGCUGGUCUGAGAGGACGAUCAGCCACACGGGCACUGAGACACGGGCCCGACUCCUACGGGAGGCAGCAGUAGGGAAUAUUGGACAAUGGGCGCAAGCCUGAUCCAGCCAUCCCGCGUGAAGGAUUAAGGUCCUAUGGAUUGUAAACUUCUUUUCUCUGGGAAUAAAAAGUGGGAUUCAUUCCUGCCUUGAAGGUACCAGAGGAAUAAGCACCGGCUAACUCCGUGCCAGCAGCCGCGGUAAUACGGAGGGUGCAAGCGUUAUCCGGAUUCACUGGGUUUAAAGGGUGCGUAGGUGGCUUUGUAAGUCAGUGGUGAAAUGCCGGAGCUCAACUCCGGAACUGCCAUUGAUACUGCUUAGCUUGAAUCAAGUCGAGGUGGAUGGAAUAUUACAUGUAGCGGUGAAAUGCUUAGAUAUGUAAUAGAACACCGAUUGCGAAGGCAGUUCACUAGGCUUGUAUUGACACUGAGGC